UACGUAGGGCGCAAGCGUUGUCCGGAAUUAUUGGGCGUAAAGAGCUCGUAGGCGGCCAACUAAGUCAGACGUGAAAUCCCUCGGCUUAACCGGGGAACUGCGUCUGAUACUGGAUGGCUUGAGGUUGGGAGAGGGAUGCGGAAUUCCAGGUGUAGCGGUGAAAUGCGUAGAUAUCUGGAGGAACACCGGUGGCGAAGGCGGCAUCCUGGACCAAUUCUGACGCUGAGUGAGCGAAAGCCAGGGGAGCAAACGGG
rnacentral:rRNA from 1 species